AAAUCCAACUAGACAAACGGACGUGCUAGACGAUUGACACAUGGCGAAAGUAAAAUUUAAUAAUUACUUUUUUUUCUUUUAUGUUUCUUUUCUCUCUCUUCGCUUCUCUUCCUUUCUUCUUCCUCUUUUCUCUAUUUUAGAACAGAGGAAGAAGACGAAGCCAGCUCCAGCUCCAGCUCCAGCUCCGACUACCCCAACAACUCUCUUGCCAUAACCGCAUCCGAUACAAUCCCCACCGAUCGCCCCUCUUCAAGCCUACAAAUCUCCGCCGAGCCAUCCUAAAAGCGAGGAGAGUUUGGGACGGAAGAGGCGGCCAAAGCAGGACUUGUCGCAACAACAAAUGGGGACUUAUUUAAUGCAGUCGAGUACCGGGGCUUUACCGGCGAGUCACGGAUCAAUUCAUGCGAAUUUUUGGAAUUCUUCUACCCCUUUGAAAAUUAGGUUAAUUUAAACAAAAUAUUGUUCUAGUUUUGUUCAGAAUUGUUUUGAAGUACUAACUAAGUUAAAUAAGAUUAAUUGGAUUCAGUAAAAUGGGGAUUUCUUGAAGUUUUUGAAGUUCAAAAUAUGUUCUUGUGCAAAGUCUAAUUGGUUAUUUGUAUCUCACUACUCUGUUUAUGGAAUUAUUUUAGUAGUUCACAGUCCUUUAUUCUUGAAUUGCACUCGUCUCUCUCAUAUACAUAAAAAAUUACCCUACUGAUGUUGGUUGGUAAUCUAGUUUCAAUCUUUUACUGAACCUCCCCCCUCCCUAUAGUAUUGUGUUCUUUUAAAUAAUAAUAAAUAGUUAGAUUAGGCUAAUUUGG
rnacentral:lncRNA from 1 species